GCCUGGCUCAGUGGUUGAGCAUCCACCUAUGAAGUAGGAGGUCAGGGUUCAAUUCCCGGUCAGGGCA
rnacentral:tRNA from 1 species